GACGAACGCUGGCGGCGUGCCUAAUACAUGCAAGUAGAACGCUGAAGAGAGGAGCUUGCUCUUCUUGGAUGAGUUGCGAACGGGUGAGUAACGCGUAGGUAACCUGCCUUGUAGCGGGGGAUAACUAUUGGAAACGAUAGCUAAUACCGCAUAACAAUGGAUGACACAUGUCAUUUAUUUGAAAGGGGCAAUUGCUCCACUACAAGAUGGACCUGCGUUGUAUUAGCUAGUAGGUGAGGUAACGGCUCACCUAGGCGACGAUACAUAGCCGACCUGAGAGGGUGAUCGGCCACACUGGGACUGAGACACGGCCCAGACUCCUACGGGAGGCAGCAGUAGGGAAGCUUCGGCAAUGGGGGCAACCCUGACCGAGCAACGCCGCGUGAGUGAAGAAGGGUUUCGGAUCGUAAAGCUCUGUUGUAAGUCAAGAACGAGUGUGAGAGUGGAAAGUUCACACUGUGACGGUAGCUUACCAGAAAGGGACGGCUAACUACGUG
rnacentral:rRNA from 1 species